rnacentral:rRNA from 1 species
AUUGAACGCUGGCGGCAUGCUUUACACAUGCAAGUCGAACGGUAACAGGUUAAGCUGACGAGUGGCGAACGGGUGAGUAAUGCAUCGGAACGUGCCCGAUCGUGGGGGAUAACGCAGCGAAAGCUGCGCUAAUACCGCAUACGAUCUGAGGAUGAAAGCGGGGGACCGUAAGGCCUCGCGCGAUCGGAGCGGCCGAUGUCAGAUUAGGUAGUCGGUGGGGUAAAGGCUCACCAAGCCAACGAUCUGUAGCUGGUCUGAGAGGACGACCAGCCACACUGGGACUGAGACACGGCCCAGACUCCUACGGGAGGCAGCAGUGGGGAAUUUUGGACAAUGGGCGAAAGCCUGAUCCAGCAAUGCCGCGUGCAGGAAGAAGGCCUUCGGGUUGUAAACUGCUUUUGUACGGAGCGAAAAGGUCCCCUCUAAUACAGGGGGCUCAUGACGGUACCGUAAGAAUAAGCACCGGCUAACUACGUGCCAGCCGCCGCGGUAA